rnacentral:lncRNA from 1 species
CUAAUUGUUGUAAACUGAGCAAAUCAGCAAAAAAUGUCUCAAGGCUCUGCCUACCAAACUAGGCAGGGGCAAGGCUCGAACACCACGUCCGGUGAUUACCAUGACUAUAUUUCGAGGUUAUCAAAGAUGCCUAGCAUUAUCCAUGGUGCUCCCCAGUACCCAAGUGUUCACAAGGCCUUCAACAACAAGGUAACUCGGGAAGAAGAGGUUAAUGAGGCUCGCCAAGACAAUGUCAACAAGAAGAAUCCCACCAGGUCUACCAAGAAGGUUCGGGUGAAGGAGCAAGUGCAAGUUAUCGAUCAAAAUGGGAAUCGGAAACCAGAAGAUAUCGAAGAAGAUGUUGAUGAUGAAGCUGAUGGUUUCGUCAAGCAGAAGAAAAGGGGCUUUGAACUGAGCAAAUGGAAGACCUUCAAAUAUCCAUAGGCUAGGGAGCAUGUCGGUUGUGUUUAGAUUACUGGGAAACUAUAUCCCAGCUGCUGUGUGAACCAACACAGAUAUUUAAAUAAAAUGCCCGUCUUUCUUGUGUUGGCAGAACUUCUUUCAGGGUUGUUUGGAUAUAGCAUGUCAAGAAAAUUUUAGUAUUUUAUCUUUUAACAAGGCAAUAUAGUGUGAUAUACUAUAGCUUUUCAUUGAUGGUAUUCUGUCACCAAAGAUUUUGCCUCGCUGCUUAUUUGUGAAUCCAAGGUUUCAUACAGUACGGCAUCAAAUUCUUAUUACAGCGAUUAAGCAUUCAACAAAAUAAAUUGUCGAUUUGAUGAGUGUUACAGAAGCUAAACUUCGGAGCGAAUUGUAAAUGAUGCUUUGCCAGAUUAUAAUUACUACAUCAAAUUCUGAAUCGCACGGUCUAGAUUGGAUAAUCCAUUGUUGAUGCUCGAGAUUUGCCGACUGCAUACAUGAUAUAUGUUUCCAGAAUCAACUGUAUAAUAGAUAAUAUAACAUCUUUAACCCUUUGGUUAAUGUUUUAUAAGUUCUCUUGCCUUCUUUCUUUUGCUGUAUCUAGGCUUAUGCUGAUGCAGAUAGUUUAAAGAUAUGUGUAAUGAAAACAAAUCUGAAAUGUAUCAGUGGAAAGGAAAUAAUUAUGCAAUACCUGUAGAAAUAAAUGCUUGGUAGCUUAUUUAACAAGGAACUGCUGGAAACUGCUGCUGCUGCUGCAAACCGAUUUUCCAUUACAAUGAAUGACUUUCCAUUGUCACCCUUUCCAAUUACUUUUCAAACAUUUCAAAUAAGCUGUCAUUCCAUGAAGCUAAUUCGUUGCUUUUUGCUGUGACUGCCUGGCUGCUGUUAUGUCUUCAUGUUCGGUUGCAGAUUUCAUAAAUGAAUCAUUAACUUUGGAGGUUAUGCUGGAAACAAAUGAUGAGUGAUAUUGGUCUGUAAAGAAACUCUUGUGGGAAUACUUUUUUUGUUUUUUUGGAUUCGAGGAAACCCCACCCUCCGGAAAGCACAUUUUGUGGGCCCAGAUAAGCGAGUAAAAUCCCGGCUGUCCCAGGCUCUUACAAGAAGUGCACGUCCUGACUCGAACUCAAAACCUGCUGUGCAGAUCUCAAGCCCUUUGCCACCACGCUACACCCCUUGGGGACUCUUGUGGGAAUACGUUCAUAAAUCAAUGGUGAGUCGGUGACGGCUCCGGGAUUUACCCCGAAUCACCAUGCCACUGACACAGAUCACGAUGAAAGAUCCAUGUAUCAGUUCAAAAAUCCAAUGGCCCAUGCAUGAAGCAUUCGGGGGAUUAAUCUACUUAACCUUUGUACUUUUGGCAUAAUUAAACAUUAAAUACUCUAAUGUCCUCCUGUCAUAAUUAACUGGGCUAUUAGAAUUACAUGAGGGAUGCCUCUGCUUAAAGGAUAGCACACAUGACAUUAUCCUUUCCACUUAACAAUAAACUACUGACAAUUAAGGCUUGUUGUUCCAAAUGAUGGUUUUAAGACAAGUGUCAUAUGUGGGAAUAUUAAUAUUAAUAUUAAUGAACAGAUGGACGAUGGCUUACCCUGUUUCUUCGGCACAAUGUUGUGACAAUCCAAAAGAAAAGGUUGUCAAUGGUUUGCAUAACGCAAUACAUCAGGAGAUGUAAUUGCCUGUCUAUCAAUAGACAACUCAAGCAAAACCACUAUGUCAUCUAAUGUUUGUAAUCCCUUCAUGCCUAAUAUAAAACGUGUGUGUCUUAUGUCUUCAUCGCUCAAUUAAUGCAUGGAUCAAGCCAUGAUCAAGCUUGCUAUGAUCUAGGCAAAUAACAAACAAAAAACCCGUAUAUGUACAAGCAUGCCAAGACAGUAGAUCUCCAACUAUAUGUAGGGCUGGCGUCAAAAUUAUCGAGGAGCAUCAGUUAAAUUAAGGCACAUAUCUACUUGUAAGGUCUAUGAGUAAUACACCACCAAACAUAUAGAGUAUAUAUGCUCUAACAUACAAACAUAACAUAUUAAAAUUAUUACAAUCAUAAUCAUUCAUGCAAACUUAACAAAUAAUCAAUACAUUCAAAUCAUAAUAUGUUUUAUACCUCCGCAAAAUCUCCUAGUUAGCAUCUUCUAGUGGUUUUAUUAAUAUCUCAUCAAUCUACUUAAGAUGUAUGAUACCCCCCCUUCAAUUCAAAAUAAAAGGGUGACAAUCCAAAUGAUCGCUCGCAUAAUACAAUUCUAUUAUGAACAUCAGAAGAUGUGAUUACACGUCCAUCAAUAUGCAGUCAAAGCAAAAUCAUCAUAUCCUAUAAUGUCGGUGUCAUCUCUCCAUGCCUAAGAUAGAAUGUUUGUGUCUUAUGUCUUCAUCGCUUAACCAGUGCAUGGAUCAAGCUUGAUGUGGUUUAGACAACUAACAUAUAAUAAACAUGUCUAGAACACAUACAACUGAACCUGCUCAUAUAGUCACAUUCGCCUAUAUGUUCAACAAUAAAUAGUGGUCUCAUCCUUCAUAAAAAUUUAAAUUAUAAACAUUUACUCAUAUAAUACCUUUAAUGAUAAGUAUAUUAAAAACAUUACAAUUAAAAAUUCUUACAAUGUUUGCGAAUACAUCCUCCGAUUGAUGUUGAUGUUGCAAUCGCAAGACAUAAAUGUUAGCGUGUUUAGUAGGCAUGUACUGUGACUGUUUUCCUGUUAUAGCUUAUUUCAUUGCAUAUGUCACACCUAUAAUAUGCAUGACCUUCUCUUGCAUUCAUCUCAUUGUGCAAAUGAGUAGACAUCCAUUGACCAAACCCAAAUUCCCAUCUAGAUGAGUCUGCUUCAACACAAAAUCUAGUGUAAUUAGUCCAUUCUAACUCAUCUGAUAAUAAACAAAAUAAAAUGUCAUAUAUUGAUCAGUAACUUUGAAUCGUGUAAUGAUCAUUAACAAACUAUAUAAAAUCUAUGUGACUCUUGGCAUAACAUUUAAGAACAUGUGAAUAUGAAUGUUGAAAUGUAUGUCAUUUACCACAUGUGCAUGUUCCAUCAUUCAAAUUGGCUACCCGUUUGACUUCUUUAAUAACACCCAGUUUAAUAUGGAUGUUGACUUGGAACACCCCCUGCUCGGAGUCAAACAACAUUGCAAUAUAAUCUUUUAAUCUAUCCUUACUCAUUGUCAAUUCAAUCUCAAUUGUUGGGGGCUAAAUUUUACCAUGUUGAAUAAAAUCAUUAGUUUUAUGUCUCCACUUGACCCAAUAACUAAUACACUAGUAAAAUGUUAAUUCCACCAGAGCUAAAACAUGCAUUGUACGAGCACCCUUCAGAACUUGAUUAAAUGAUUUGAAAGAUUAGUUGUUAUAUUACCAUACUAGUGACUGUCAUCAUAACAUAAAACUUUUUUUUUUUUGUCUUGGUUCCAAUUAACAACUGUUAUAGGAUUUGAUUCUUUUAUUACCAACAACAACCUAGGUAAUUUUCCGAAAGACUCCUCAUGUGAACCAAUAAGAUUCUCAAUCACCUUUUAUUUUGCAACCCAUGUUUUUUCAUAUGACAAAUUAUACUUGUAAUGCAACUUUAUUUCAUCAUGUAUGCUUGCAACCAUUAUCAAAAGCUUAUUCAUUAUUAGGGUUGAUAUAGCACUAGCAAUAAAAUUUGCAUCAUGUUUACAAUUGUCUUUUUUAACAAAAGUUGAAACACAUAUAUGUGAUCCUUUUAAAUUUGUUAUCUCAAAUGAAUUUGAUCUUUUAUUAAAUCUCAUAUGCAAAUAUCAUUUACAUUCAAGUGUUUGCACACAUUGCAAUUGAUAAUGUGCAUUGUUAUUGUUUAACUUCAUUAACCAAUUCAUUUUUACUACUAAAUUAAAAACAAUACCUUAGUUUCUAAAAUGCACAAAGUUAGUUAGAUAUUGUGGGUGAGCCUACAGUGCAGCUAGGGUUUGUUUUAAUGGAGCAUGAUAUGGCCGCAUCUAAUCUCCAAAUUAAUAUCUAUCAUGAGUUCAAAAGUUGUGGGUUAUAAUCUUCUUCAGGAAGGGCCAGAGACUUGGAAUAAUACUGUAUAGGUGAUGUGAAUCGAUUCAGGCUCUCCACUUUCUAGGCGUUUAUUCUCUUUUAAAUGCAUGGGAUAACUUGAUAUCUGACAAGAGGUAAGGAAUUAGAUGCAACUUUACCAUCUUUAGAGGAUAAAUUCGCAAGACAUGGGUCUAUAAAUUUGCAGAUUCUCUCAACUAAUUGUUGUAAACUGAGCAAAUCAGCAAAAAAUGUCUCAAGGCUGUGCCUACCAAACUGGGCAGCGGCAAGGCUCGAACACCACGUCCGGUGAUUACCAUGACUAUAUUUCGACGUUAUCAAAGAUGCCUAGCGUUAUCCAUGGUGCCCCCCAGUACCCAAGUGUUCACAAGGCCUUCAACAACAAGGUAUCUCAAGAAGAAGAGGUUAAUGGUGAAGGUGAUGGAAGCAUCCAGCAGAAGCAAAAGGGCUUUGAACUGUGCAAAUGG